rnacentral:lncRNA from 1 species
UAUAAUCCUGAAAUUUACCCAAUAAAAUACAAAAAGUACUCACACCUAAUUGUAUAUACAUAAAGGCAUCUUAGAGGUCAGCUGAUAGGAGAGAAUAGAAAAAAGGGAAAAAAAAAAAAAAAAGAAGCAGAAGAAGAAAGAAAAGAUUAAAAAGCUUUGCAAAAAUGGUGCUUCAAAGAUUGGAGAUAUGCGUUGAAUUGAUGAAACUAGCCGUAGAGUUUGUCGUGGUUGUGGCGGAAGCAGUCGGAAUAGUCAUUCAUCAAAACCACUCGCCGC